rnacentral:rRNA from 1 species
UACGUAGGGUGCGAGCGUUGUCCGGAAUUAUUGGGCGUAAAGAGCUCGUAGGCGGUGUGUCACGUCGUUCGUGAAAACCUGCAGCUUAACUGUGGGCGUGCGGUCGAUACGGGCAUCACUGGAGUUCGGCAGGGGAGACUGGAAUUCCUGGUGUAGCGGUGAAAUGCGCAGAUAUCAGGAGGAACACCGAUGGCGAAGGCGGGUCUCUGGGCCGGUACCGACGCUGAGGAGCGAAAGCGUGGGGAGCGAACAGG